CUAAUUGGGUGAGUUUUUAUUGUAGAAAUGCGGCCCCUGAAGAUGUGAAACGCGUAGGUGGGCCCCUGCGCCUUUCCACUGGCCUCCCACUGCCCGUGCCCACAGAAGGAACACAGGGUCCUUAGACCCGGGCGGGACCCACUGAAACCCCGCGUUCGGUCAUUUCCCCAGGGGGAUGCGGCCCCGGAGUGCCAACCUUCCAAAGUUCAGGUGAGUUCACGACGCUGAGAUCCUAGUGGGGUCCUCCUCGGUGUCAAGGAGCAAGAGAGGUGGUGGCAGCAGUGGGGAAACAGCCACAGGGCCUGCGAGUCCAGACAGGUAGCUCCAGGCUAGUUGCACGCUCGCGGUUCCUGUCCCUUCCGUGUGCAAAGUAAGGAAGUCAGCAGGAAGGUUUCCCGACUGGACCCUUUGUCCAGAGGAAGAAAGAUUCGGCCAAGGGAUGAGAACCACGGUACCUACAGGUACUGGAAUCGAGACCCUACACAGCCUCCCGACGCCUCGGUCUCCCUUUCCGCUGGGGUUGCCACUCUAGUUCAGGAAGGGUCUUUGGGUCAGGGCGCAGUGUUCCCAGGGGCCAGCGAUCCCCGGCAUCAUGCCCUCUCUACCAGGCUCAAGCUGGCUGCUCUUGGCUAGGUCGGGACUGGGGGCCCGGCGGCCGUGGCUCAGUCCCACACUACACCGGCCGCGUCUUCCAGGGCGCGCGGGCAUCGCGCAGCGAGCGGUCGUGGGGCAGCGCGGCAAAGGCCGAAUGGCGCAGCUGGCAACCGAUGAAGAGGACGACGAGCGCCACCGAGAGCAGCAGCAGGAAGAAGAGCAGCAGGUAGGUGGGCAGGUCGGGCUUUGUGGCCGCGCCGUCCCGCAUACCGCGCGCAGUGGCCAGCUCCAGCGGCAAAGCGCCUUCUGCCUUGACCGUGGCUCCUGGGGCCAGCGCGCUGUCUACCGCCGCCUCGGGGCCGCCCGUGGCGUUGAAUAUGUCGCCGUACAUGGCCCGCGGGUCCCGCCGACCCCAGCCGGACCGCUUCACUUGGCCUGGAGCAUACUGGCGAAACCCGGCGCCUCCAUGGCGCGCCUCUCCCGCCCUGCCGCGCUCAACUGACCGAGAGUCAGUGCCUUGGGCUGGCGGGGACUGCAAAGACCCCAGGACGCGUCCGCUCACUCGCCUCUGCCCUCAGCUGCCUUCCCUGCCGGCGGGCGGACCCCAGUGCUCGGAGCUGGAGAGUUCUAUGCCGCGUCCUCGGGCUCACCGUUUCUCACCGUCGCCACCAGGACAGAGGUCCCAGUCACUGACUCGUCUUUCGGCUUUACAACAGCCAGCUCAGCUCGGACCCUCAGCUCCAGUGAGCUCCAGGUGCCGGGCACCUCUGGGCUGCGGCUGCUGGGAGAGGCACUCAGCGAGUGCAGCCGCAGCCCGGGGUCUCUGCUCAGCGCUGGUGGCAGAGCGCACGGAGGGCGGGUGGCCAGAGAGUCCUCCGCAUCCUCCGGCGCUGCCGUCACCGCAGCGUCUCGGAGCAGUCCUGCAGCCUCGGGUCCCUGUCGAGACGCCCGGUGUUCGGCGAGCUUGUCCCCACUCGCUCCGGCUGCUGCACUCCUGUUUUGAGC
rnacentral:lncRNA from 1 species